rnacentral:rRNA from 1 species
AACGAACGCUGGCGGCGCGCCUAAUACAUGCAAGUCGAGCGAGAAGGUGUAGCAAUACACUUGUAAAGCGGCGAACGGGUGAGGAAUACAUGGGUAAUCUACCAUCGAGUGGGGAAUAACCAACCGAAAGGUUGGCUAAUACCGCGUACGCCUCCGAGUCUUCGGGUUCGGAAGGAAAGCUGCACUGUGAGUGUAGCGCUCUUUGAUGAGCUCAUGUCCUAUCAGCUUGUUGGUAGGGUAACGGCCUACCAAGGCUUUGACGGGUAGCUGGUCUGAGAGGACGAUCAGCCACACUGGGACUGAGACACGGCCCAGACUCCUACGGGAGGCAGCAGUGGGGAAUUUUGGACAAUGGGGGCAACCCUGAUCCAGCCAUGCCGCGUGAGUGAAGAAGGCCU